AAGGAGCCAGGCAAGGGGAGUGCCUUAAGUAGGCUAGGGGUAGAAAACCAGCACCUCCCACAAAUGCAGGCAAAUUGCCUUAAUCCAUAUGUAUAUAUAUAUAUAUAUAUAUAUAUAUUUUUUUUUUUAAUUGGGGUAGCUCCCAAAAUAUUGGGACAUGUUCCGCAGAGUAGCUGUUGACAUUAUAGUUGCGCAGGCACUUUGUUGACUCUAGAGAACCUCGGGCCAAUCGCACAUCCUCAUGACGGCGACUUUGCAUUCGGAUGUCAUCCAUAUCAACUUUCGAUGCCAGUUCUGUGCCUACCAUGGUGACCACAGGUAACGGGGAAUCAGGGUUCCAUUCCGUACAGGGACCCUGAGAAACGGCUACCACAUGCAAGGAAGGCAGCAGGCGCACAAAUGACCCACUCCCGACGCGGGAAGAUAGUGA